UUCGUCUAUGAAAGGUCAUUGAACGAGAUUGGGUCAAAAGAACGGCCAUACCUCUGAAAUCACGUGGAAAUCUUUCGACCUUCAAAAUUAUGUUCCUCUACCCUCAACUUUUAUUCCGGGAAACCAGAAUGCAGAACGUGUCAACGUGUAUAUAAGGCGGUAACCAACUCUUUAUUUCACAAUCGUGCAAGGGUCUUCCACUGCAUCUGUACUGUUGCUUCAACACCAUCUCAGGACGCUUCGCUUGCUUGUUUUUUACAGGCCCCUUCAGUGCUGAAUUCCGACACCGAUCUUGUGGGACUUGCCAUUCGUAGUCAACUAUAAUUCAAUCAUCCUUUUGAAAAUUCCUUGUUGUUGGAUUGGAUCCAUCAAUUCUGGUUAAUUACCAACGUACCCGAGGAUAGAAAGUGUGGUGGAUUCUAAGGAGCGUCGAUCUACCGAUAUCAUGUCCCUGCCAAGUCAAAGACAAUCAGUUCCGCAAAAGCGUAUCUGAUCAAAAUGCGAGUUCGGUCGCCACGGUGAGCUUAGUGUUCAUUUACUAAAAGACGCCAUCGGAUGCAAAACGGCCUUCCACACUAGAGAAAAGUCGUACCAAGAGGGAGAGGAAUAUUUAUCACUGAAAGUUUUACUUUGGACACAAAAGCAGGAAAGGUACAUUCUACGACGAUUCACGUCUACGCUUGUUGCUUGGACGAAAAGAACAAAGGAUUUUUGAUUCUGCAUAAAAUAUACAACUUAAAACCGAAAGGAUACGCCUUAAUUUAGGGCUCGGCCCCACGAUGUUCGGGCACGAUCGUCGCGAUCAGAUUAAGCCUUAAUCUGAUGUCUUUGUACUAUUAUGAGAAUCGACACAAACAAACAGCAGUUUUUUUUAUAAAUGCUAUUACAGGAGCAAAUUCCAAGAACUGCUAUUUGAAAAUCUCAAUGAAUUUUUUCUUGUCUACUUUCUUGAUUGACCGCCUGAAAUUCAUUUUCCAUGCUGAAUAACUGUUAGUUCUUAGGGCUUGUAUCCAAUCUUGCCUACCUGUUGAGUAUGUAACAAAGUAAUAUUAGUUUCUGGGUGUGCUUGUUGCCCCCUAUUUUAUUAGCCUCAAUUGUAGAAUGUUAGUGUACAAAACUGCCCAGCAUGUAAAUGUCACUGUAAAAUUUAUAAAAAUAAGAUUAUUAAGCAUUUAAGUAUUAGGAAAAGAACAAGCAUUAAGACCAGUGUAGGUUUACUUGCUUAUUUAAUUACUUUAUUAACUUUCUUGCUCUUAGAUUUGUGAUGAUUUCCCAUUACGUUUUUGGCUUUGUUGUUAUAGUAUGACCAUCAUAUUGUUACCAGAGUCACAAUACUAUUUCCUUAUACCUUGUUUUGAUCACAUAGACGCCAAAGUUAAGACGUUCAUGACCAAACAUAUUU